ACGGAAGGCAGCAGUGGGGAAUAUUGCACAAUGGGCGGAAGCCUGAUGUAGCGAUGCCGCGUGGAGGAAGAAGGUUUUCGGAUUGUAAACUCCUUUUAUCGGGGACGAUAAUGACGGUACCUGAAGAAAAAGCUCCGGCUAACUACGUGCCAGCAGCCGCGGUAAUACGUAGGGAGCGAGCGUUGUCCGGAAUUACUGGGUGUAAAGGGUGCGUAGGCGGGGAUGCAAGUCAGAUGUGAAAUGUAUGGGCUCAACCCAUGAACUGCAUUUGAAACUGCAACUCUUGAGUGAGGUAGAGGUAAGCGAAAUUCCUAGUGUAGCGGUGAAAUGCGUAGAUAUUAGGAGGAACAUCGGUGGCGAAGGCGGCUUACUGGGACUUUACUGACGCUGAGGCACGAAAGCGUGGGGAGCAAACAGGAUUAGAUACCCUGGUA
rnacentral:rRNA from 1 species